GACGAACGCUGGCGGCGUGCUUAACACAUGCAAGUCGAACGGAAAGGCCCUGCUUUUGUGGGGUGCUCGAGUGGCGAACGGGUGAGUAACACGUGAGCAACCUGCCCUUGACUUUGGGAUAACUUCAGGAAACUGGGCUAAUACCGGAUAGGAGCUCCUGCUGCAUGGUGGGGGUUGGAAAGUUUCGGCGGUUGGGGAUGGACUCGCGGCUUAUCAGCUUGUUGGUGGGGUAGUGGCUUACCAAGGCUUUGACGGGUAGCCGGCCUGAGAGGGUGACCGGCCACAUUGGGACUGAGAUACGGCCCAGACUCCUACGGGAGGCAGCAGUGGGGAAUAUUGCACAAUGGGCGGAAGCCUGAUGCAGCAACGCCGCGUGCGGGAUGACGGCCUUCGGGUUGUAAACCGCUUUCGCCUGUGACGAAGCGUGAGUGACGGUAAUGGGUAAAGAAGCACCGGCUAACUACGUG
rnacentral:rRNA from 1 species